GGGGAAGUGCUGGAAUUGGCAGACAGCCUGGACUUAGAAUCCAGUGCCGCAAGGCGUGAGGGUUCAAAUCCCUCCUUCCCCACCA
rnacentral:tRNA from 1 species